AGUGAACGCUGGCGGUAGGCCUAACACAUGCAAGUCGAACGGCAGCACAGUAAGAGCUUGCUCUUACGGGUGGCGAGUGGCGGACGGGUGAGGAAUACAUCGGAAUCUACUUUUUCGUGGGGGAUAACGUAGGGAAACUUACGCUAAUACCGCAUACGACCUACGGGUGAAAGCAGGGGAUCUUCGGACCUUGCGCGAUUGAAUGAGCCGAUGUCGGAUUAGCUAGUUGGCGGGGUAAAGGCCCACCAAGGCGACGAUCCGUAGCUGGUCUGAGAGGAUGAUCAGCCACACUGGAGCUGAGACACGGUCCAGACUCCUACGGGAGGCAGCAGGGGGGAAUAUUGGACAAUGGGCGCAAGCCUGAUCCAGCCAUACCGCGUGGGUGAAGAAGGCCUUCGGGUUGUAAAGCCCUUUUGUUGGGAAAGAAAAGCAGCAGGUUAAUACCCCGCUGUUCUGACGGUACCCAAAGAAUAAGCACCGGCGAACUUCGU
rnacentral:rRNA from 1 species